UCCCUAGUGGCUCAGAUGGUAAAGCAUCUGCCUGCGAUGCAGGAGACCUGGGAUCGAUCUCUGGGUUGGGAA
rnacentral:tRNA from 1 species